GAUGAACGCUGGCGGCGUGCCUAAUACAUGCAAGUCGAACGAAACUUCUUUAUCGCCGAGUGCUUGCACUCACCGAUAAAGAGUUGUGUGGCGAACGGGUGAGUAACACGUGGGCAACCUGCCCAAAAGAGGGGGAUAACACUUGGAAACAGGUGCUAAUACCGCAUAACCAUAGUUACCGCAUGGUAACUAUGUAAAAGGUGGCUAUACUACCGCUUUUGGAUGGGCCCGCGGCGCAUUAGCUAGUUGGUAGGGUAAAGGCUUACCAAGGCAAUGAUGCGUAGCCGAAUUGAGAGGUUGAUCGGCCACAUUGGGACUGAGACACGGCCCAAACUCCUACGGGAGGCAGCAGUAGGGAAUCUUCCACAAUGGGCGAAAGCCUGAUGGAGCAACGCCGCGUGGGUGAAGAAGGUCUUCGGAUCGUAAAACCCUGUUGUUAGAGAAGAAAGUGCGUGAGAGUAACUGUUCACGUUUCGACGGUAUCUAACCAGAAAGCCACUGCUAACUACGUG
rnacentral:rRNA from 1 species